rnacentral:rRNA from 1 species
CCUACGGGUGGCAGCAGUGAGGAAUAUUGGUCAAUGGGCGCGAGCCUGAACCAGCCAAGUAGCGUGAAGGAUGACUGCCCUACGGGUUGUAAACUUCUUUUAUCAAGGAAUAAAGUGAGGCACGUGUGCCUUUUUGUAUGUACUUUAUGAAUAAGGAUCGGCUAACUCCGUGCCAGCAGCCGCGGUAAUACGGAGGAUCCGAGCGUUAUCCGGAUUUAUUGGGUUUAAAGGGAGCGUAGAUGGGUUGUUAUGUCAGUUGUGAAAGUUUGCGGCUCAACCGUAAAAUUGCAAUUGAUACUGGCAGACUUGAGUACAGUUGAGGUAGGCGGAAUUCGUGGGGUAGCGGUGAAAUGCUUAGAUAUCACGAAGAACCCCGAUUGCGAAGGCAGCUUACUAAACUGUGACUGACAUUGAUGCUCGAAAGUGUGGGUAUCAAACAGGAUUAGAUACCCCUGUAGUC